AGCUUUGCGCAGUGGCGGUACCAUAGCCAAUGAGGUUUUACCGAGGCGUGGUUAUUGCUAGUUGAAAACUACUCCCAAUACCCCGCACGGGCUGGCCUUCACAGGUUAGCUUAGUGCAAUUUUUUACGGCUCUUACGGGAG
rfam:Aplysia californica cont2.60888, whole genome shotgun sequence.